rnacentral:rRNA from 1 species
ACAGCAGCAGCCGCGGUAAUACGAAGGGUGCAAGCGUUAAUCGGAAUUACUGGGCGUAAAGCGUGCGUAGGCGGUUUGUUAAGUCUGUUGUGAAAUCCCCGGGCUCAACCUGGGAAUUGCAGUGGAUACUGGGUCACUAGAGUGUGGUAGAGGAUAGUGGAAUUUCCGGUGUAGCAGUGAAAUGCGUAGAGAUCGGAAGGAACAUCUGUGGCGAAGGCGACUAUCUGGGCCAACACUGACACUGAGGCACGAAAGCGUGGGGAGCAAACAGGAUUAGAUACCCCUGUAGUCCCUGUCUCUUAUAC